AGAAAGCAAAUCUCUGCCAACUGCUUAAGUGUGCAUGCUUUCCAUCCUGAGAAUCCCACCUGUCCUCACCGUGUGCCACUUGGGGAAUUCUAGCAGCAGCUGGGUGGGCAUGACAUGAGAUGCCGGCUUUGUGAACGUUUGAUUGAAGGUGUCAUGCUCGCAGGAAACAUGGGUUGCUUAGAGUAUAUGUCACAGACCCCAGUUAAAUAAGGGGUCACUGGUCAUCUUGAAAUGAAGACCCUCAGUGUUUCUCAAACUCACAUCUGUGAGGCUCGACUUGCUUCCUGCAUUAUUCUGUCCAAAUUAAUUCACAGCCAUUGUCAUGCUCUAGGGACAAUGAGUGGAACAGAUGUUUAUGAACUUCCAUGAUGCCUGUUUUUUUUCUAGGUAAGAAGCACCGUAGCACAACAGGUAUGAGUCUAUGCUAGAGCCACAUUCGCUGGUUCUAACACUGAGGAAUCUGAAGCCAUUACUUAGCCUUCCCAUGCUCCCAUAUCUUCAUCUAUAGAAAGAAAGAAGGAAGUAUUGACCGCAUUUUCUAGAUGAGAAGGUCAACAUUCAGGAACUGAAGGAACCGGGAUUCUUCAAAUCUAGCACUGUUUCCUCUAUUGCAGAAGGGCUGGAGAGGCCUCAGGAGACUUACAGUCAAGGCAGAAGAGGAAGAAAGCACGUCCUUCCUCACAUGGCAGCAGCAAGGAGAAGUGCAGAGCAAAGGGGCAGGGAGAAGCCCCUUAUAAAACCAUCAGAUCUCAUGAGAACUCACUCGCUAUCACAAGAACAUUAUGAGGGAAACCGCCCCACAUGAUUAGAUUAUCUCCACCUUGUCCCAUCCUUGACACCUGGGGAUUAUUACAACUCAAGAUGAGAUUUUGGGUGGGGACAGAGUGCCAAACCAUAUCAUACUGUGACUUAUUCCUCCUUACAUAUAGACCUUAGAACAUUUCUCAAGACAAAAACGCUUCUGUGCUAUUUUUGGAAUUAUACAGUGAAUGAAUAAUAAUUUCACUCUUCCAUACCUUUAUGUACACCUCUUUUUUAUUUUGUAUGUAUUUCCUCAUUGACCACAACUUCCACAAUGUUAGUAGUAAUGGUGGCCAUUUUUCUUUUGUUGUUCAUUUUUAGCAGGUAUAACUCUAGUAUUAACAAUGAAAUAUGAUCAUGGAUAUAACUGAAAAAAUACAUCCUUGUAUUUUGAAGAUAUAGCUUUCCUGAUUGUAAGAAAGAAUAUAUGCUUAUAAGAAAAAUAUUUUAAAAAUUGAAAAUGUAAAAUAAGCUCUUUAUUUUUAUUGUUGUCACAACUACCCAAUUUGUUGUGUGUGAUAAAAGUACAUUUUCUCAUAGUUAAAAGUAUCAUUCGACUUCUAUACUGUAAUGUUUGGAUUAAUUGUCUUGGUAUUUGAACAAAUAGCUUUUUACUUUUUCAUAAUGAAAAUAAAAACACAAAGAAUUCAAGAAGAUGGCUAAAACAAAUAUUCAGAAGUAGAACUUAAAGGUGUAAUAAAUGGCCAACUUUGCUAGUUAUAAAAAAUGUAAAAAUUAACUUAGGUAUUUUCAAAAAUCUAACAAUACAUAUUUAAAUUUGGUGCUACUCUUUGCUGAUUAGAAUGUGAUGAGAUGAAUGUUCACAUAUACUUCUGUGGAAAUGUAAAUUGGCUUUAUAAUUCUGAAGAACAAUUUAAAAAUAUAUAGUAGGUUUCUUAAAUAUGGUUGAAACUUUAAACCAGAAAAUAUACUCUGGGUCAUUAUUUUAAAGAAUUUGUUCAAGAUAUACAUUAUCUGUAAUAAGGAAAAAAAAUAAAAAUGUAAGUACUUAACAAUAGAACAGUACUUAAAUAAGUAUUCUGUUGUGGAAUAUUAUGCACC
rnacentral:lncRNA from 1 species